AACCGGAACACAGGUGCUGCAUGGCUGUCGUCAGCUCGUGUCGUGAGAUGUUGGGUUAAGUCCCGCAACGAGCGCAACCCUUGUCAUUAGUUGCUACGCAAGAGCACUCUAAUGAGACUGCCGGUGACAAACCGGAGGAAGGUGGGGAUGACGUCAAGUCCUCAUGGCCCUUAUGGGUAGGGCUUCACACGUCAUACAAUGGUCGGGACAGAGGGUCGCCAACCCGCGAGGGGGAGCCAAUCUCAGAAACCCGAUCGUAGUCCGGAUCGCAGUCUGCAACUCGACUGCGUGAAGUCGGAAUCGCUAGUAAUCGCGGAUCAGAAUGUCGCGGUGAAUACGUUCCCGGGUCUUGUACACACCGCCCGUCACACCAUGGGAGUGGGUUUCACCAGAAGUAGGUAGCCUAACCGUAAGGAGGGCGCUUACCACGGUGGAUUCAA
rnacentral:rRNA from 1 species